AUGUAUCUUCAAGCUCUUUAGUUAAUUUAUCUAUCAAAUACAUCAAUGGCGAAGAGCAGCAAGCAUCUUCUUGUGGUCCUACUCCUUGUGUUGCUUCUUGUGGCUACAGAAUUUCAGCCAACAGAGGCAAUGAAGCCAGGGCCAAAGCCAAAGCCAAAGCCAAAGCCAAAACCAGCCCCGGCACCAAAAAAGACAUGCAAAUCUUUGAGCACCAAAUUCCAGGGUGUAUGCAUAAUGGACAGUAAUUGUGCCAAUGUUUGCAGAACAGAAGGAUUUACAGGAGGGAAUUGCCAUGAUAUUAUUCCACAAUGUUAUUGCACCAAACUCUGCGACUACUAAGAAAAAAGCACUUUAGAAUUGAAGCUUAAACUAUAUAUGUGGUCUAUUCUGCUAAGAACAAAAUGCAGUGAUCUAGCUCUACAUGACACUCAAUAAGUCAUCUCUUUAUUUAUUUCAUAAGGAGACUACAUUCUCCACCUAAGUUAUGUUAUGUGGUAAACACCCACUACCCUAAAUAAAUAAAUGUAUGUAAUUUAUGUUAGUAAUAAAUAAAAAAAAUCAGCAGUGUCUCACUGUGUUUAGUUCA